GGAUUGUGGCUCAGUGGUAGAACACUUGCCUAGCAUGUGCAAGGCCCUGGAUUCGAUCCUCAGCACCA
rnacentral:tRNA from 1 species